rnacentral:tRNA from 1 species
GGCGGUGUGGCGGAAAUGGAUACGCGUUAGGGUCCCAAUUCUUUGUAGGAGAGGCGGGUGGAAGUCCUAAGUCAAUGGGGGUUCGAAUCCCUCCUAAGUUG